AACGAACGCUGGCGGCAGGCCUAAAACAUGCAAGUCGAACGGGUGUAGCAAUACAUCAGUGGCGCACGGGUGAGUAACGCGUGGGAACGUGCCCUUCAGUACGGGACAACGUCGGGACACUGACGCUAAUACCGUAUAAUAUCUCCGGAUCAAAGAUUUAUCGCUGAAGGAGCGGCCCGCGUCUGAUUAGCUAGUUGGUGGGGUAAUGGCCUACCAAGGCUACGAUCAGUAGCUGGUCUGAGAGGAUGAUCAGCCACACUGGGACUGAGACACGGCCAGACUCCUACGGGAGGCAGCAGUUAGGAGUAUUGGACAAUGGGCGAAAGCCUGAUCCAGCCAUGCCGCGUGUGUGAUGAAGGCCCUAGGGUUGUAAAGCACUUUCGUUGGGGAUGAUAAUGACCGUACCCAAAGAAGAAGCCACGGCUAAAUUCGUGCCAGCCGCCGCCGUAA
rnacentral:rRNA from 1 species